rnacentral:rRNA from 2 species
UACGUAGGGUGCGAGCGUUAAUCGGAAUUACUGGGCGUAAAGGGCGCGUAGGCGGGAUGGCAAGUCGGUCGUGAAAUCCUUCGGCUCAACCGAAGAACGUCGAUCGAUACUGCUGUUCUUGAGGGUUGCAGAGGAGACUGGAAUUCCCGGUGUAGCGGUGAAAUGUGUAGAGAUCGGGAGGAACACCGGUGGCGAAGGCGGGUCUCUGGGCAAUUCCUGACGCUGAGGCGCGAAAGCGUGGGGAGCAAACGGG